ensembl:lncRNA
GGGCCGGGCUGGAGCGAGCGCGUGGAGUCACAGAUCCCCAGAGCACGAGGUUUCUGUGGGCACAUCGAGUCACAGAGCCCCAGAGCCCGAGGUUUUUAUGGGCACACCGCUUGCAGCCCAGCGUCCCUGCAGGGCCGGCAGCUCUGUCUCGUGCUAGUGACACCGACAGGGCUUUGGUCAGGUGAAGGCUGGUGCUGUGUGACAGCGGGACUGUCCAGCCUCGGCAGCUACCGCCACACCUCUCCCUGCCACUGUUAAAGCACGGAUGCUACUGUGAGUGAACAUUAAACAUUUAUUAAGGGCUCCACAGAGAGCAGAGGGAAUGUUGUACUACACGAUGCAAAUAUGACACGCCUGCUGUGCCAUUUGUUGAGUGGUCUUUGUGCUCUUUCUCCCUCUACAAGACACCACAGCUUCCCUUAUCACCUGGUGGGAAUCACGGAAUAACGGGAUAGGGUCAGGCUGAGCGGGCCCACAGAGGCUCAUCUGGUCCCACCUCCCUGCUCCAGCAGGGCCAUCCCAGAGUACAGGCACAGGAUUGUAUCCAGAGGACUCUGGAAUAUCCCCUGUAAGUACAGUCCACACCUUUCUGGGCAAUCUGUUCAGGGCUGGGCCACUGCCCUGGGAAGAAGUUCUGGCUCCUGUGCAGGGGGAACUUCUUGGGAUCAGUUCCUGCCCGUUCCUCUGAUGCCAUUGCUGGCCCCCCAGAGCAGAGCUGGCUCUGCACAGAGCUCUCCCUGUAGACAGGGACAGGCAGGGAUGAGGUCCCCUUUCGAGGCUGAACAGCCCCAGCUCAGCCUUUAAGGCGGGUAGCGGUGAAAUGAAAUGGAGCAUGGGGCUUUCUAGGUAAAACUGCUUUAUUUGGAACACGGCAGAAGCUACUUUGCAACCCUCCCAGCGCUCCCACCUUCUGGCCAGCCUCAUGAAAAAGCCACAUGUUCUCUGGCAAAUGUAAAAAUCCAUAACAACUCACUCCAUUGAUCUACUUUCAUCUGCUUAAUGAGAGGAAAGAUGUGUGCUAAUGUCUUUACAAACAAUUGGAUGGGUGAAGGAAUGGGUAUUAAUGUCUCUACUGACUUUGGGGGACAGGUUCCUUACAGUUUGGGCUCCUGGAACAAGGGUCUGCACAAGACUGAACUUCUGAAUUUUGGGGUAAAAUGCCAGGUUCAAGGCGGGAAUAUGGAGUAAGUGGUUUGGGAAGGCUGUACCUUGCUAGCAGCUCAGCCAAUGGGGAAAGGAAGAGGACAACACACGGCCAUGGGUUUAGGAUAAAAGGGAGGCUGCACCCCUGAAACCUCGGGAGAGAAAAGCCCGUGGGCGUGUGUCCUGAUAGACCCUCUCCCGUUAUUUGAAUGAAGUUGAAGGACUCCUCUGACUCCUAUUUGGACAUAAACCUCUGGCGUUUGUGAAUUUUCCUGACAUUAACUUUCUAAGUAAUGUGUUAGGUAGCUGUAUUAUUGUAAUUUAAUUAGAAGCUGGGCAGAACUCAUAAUGCUUUUUGUCUUGGACUGUCUAAAUUGCUUUGUUUUUCUUUUGAGUAAGUGAAUGAAGAUGCAAUUAUGAAAUUGUAACAUCGUGAAAUAGAUAAUUCACUAGAUUAUUAGACUGAAGGAGAGUGUGCUGCUGGUUGAGUUAAUAAUAGCUUAUGUUCUGUUUUACAAAGUAUACAAUGCAGGAGGUUAUGUGCAUUCUCUGUAAAGCUGAUUUAGCCAAGUGUAA